AGAACGAACGCUGGCGGCAUGCCUAAUACAUGCAAGUCGAACGAACACUUCGGUGUUAGUGGCGCACGGGUGCGUAACGCGUGGGAAUCUGCCCUUGGGUUCGGAAUAACAGUUGGAAACGACUGCUAAUACCGGAUGAUGACGAAAGUCCAAAGAUUUAUCGCCAGGGAUGAGCCCGCGUAGGAUUAGCUAGUUGGUGAGGUAAAGGCUCACCAAGGCGACGAUCCUUAGCUGGUCUGAGAGGAUGAUCAGCCACACUGGGACUGAGACACGGCCCAGACUCCUACGGGAGGCAGCAGUAGGGAAUAUUAGGGACAAGUCGGGCGCAAGCCUGAUCCAGCAAUCGCCGCGUGAGUGAUAGAAGGUCCGUUAGGGUUGGUAAACGUCGUUACCUUUUAACCGAGUAA
rnacentral:rRNA from 1 species